rnacentral:rRNA from 1 species
AGAGGGAAAGAGCUUGCUCUUUCCGGAAUUGAGUGGCAAACGGGUGAGUAACACGUAAACAACCUGCCUUCAGGAUGGGGACAACAGACGGAAACGACUGCUAAUACCGAAUAAGUUCCAAGAGCCGCAUGGCCCAUGGAAGAAAAGGUGGCCUCUACCUGUAAGCUAUCGCCUGAAGAGGGGUUUGCGUCUGAUUAGCUGGUUGGAGGGGUAACGGCCCACCGAGGCGACGAUCAGUAGCCGGUCUGAGAGGAUGAACGGCCACACUGGAACUGAGACACGGUCCAGACUCCUACGGGAGGCAGCAGUGGGGAAUCUUCCGCAAUGGGCGAAAGCCUGACGGAGCAACGCCGCGUGAGUGAUGACGGCCUUCGGGUUGUAAAACUCUGUGAUCCGGGACGAAAAGGCAGAGUGCGAAGAACAAACUGCAUUGACGGUACCGGAAAAGCAAGCCUCGGCUAACUACGUGCCAGCAGCCGCGGUAAUACGUAGGUGGCAAGCGUUGUCCGGAAUUAUUGGGCGUAAAGCGCGCGCAGGCGGCUUCCCAAGUCCCUCUUAAGAGUGCGGGGCUUAACCCCGUGAUGGGAAGGAAACUGGGAAGCUGGAGUAUCGGAGAGGAAAGUGGAAUUCCUAGUGUAGCGGUGAAAUGCGUAGAGAUUAGGAAGAACACCGGUGGCGAAGGCGACUUUCUGGACGAAAACUGA